GGCUCUCUGGCGCAACGGGCAGACGCGCUGGUCUUAGAAACCAGAUGUUCCGAGUUCGAAUCUCGGGGGAGCUACCA
rnacentral:tRNA from 1 species